GAAACACAGUUGUGUUUAAGAAUAAUAUAAAUAAUAAUAGUUACCGUGAUGCUCAGACAGUGUUGUGGUGUGUUUCGUAGGAGUAGACACCCAUCCAGUAUGUGUUUGCUGGUGUGCACAUGAUGAGCCCAUCACUUAACAUGGUGUUUGCGUGAAAGACGUGUGCGUGUGAGACGUGUACAACUCAUACUUACCUGGCAGGGGAGAUACCAUGAUCAAGAAGGUGGUUCACCCAGGGUGAGGCUCAGCCAUUGCACUCCGGUUGUGCUGACCCCUGCGAAUUCCCCAAAUGUGGGAAUCUCGACUGCAUAAUUUGUGGUAGUGGGGGACUGCGUUCGCGCUCUCCCCUGAUGAUUUCGUGAGAGUCAAUUGGUGAUAUUUUGUGUUGAAGUUGUUUAUGCAAAGACAUUACGUUGGCCUUUCUCUGACCAAAAGUCUUUAAAUGCUCUAUAUACAAGAUGCAAAGUAUACUUCAUUUCCGUACUGAGGUACUUAACAGAAGGAAACGUUUAAGUCUUAGUGGGACAAGUCAUCAUGACAGUCUAACUUCACACCAGCAGGGGGCAGUAGUGUUACAAUGGGUCAAAGAAUCAGGAAGUGGUCGCAUUGCGUCACGCGUGGAGGGGUGGUAUCCACUGAUCUGUAUUAUAUAUCUGGAUAGCUCAUUGGCGAUGACUUGUGAAACCACACGGCCGCCAUAUUACCACUCGCAAGAAACACUUCACGGACAUGCUUUUGCAUUCGUGGUGAACUUCUUUUAUUAAUUCGGAUUGGACACAAAUUUUGCCUUAAGAUGCCUGCAUGUGCAGCUAUUAACUGCACAAAUCGCCAGUUCAAAGGCUGUGGACGAACAUUUCACCUGUUCCUCUGGCAAACCAGAAUGGUGAGCGGGAAUGGAUAGAUGGUUCCAAGUUCGAUGUGAAGGUGCAUGAAGAGAAGAAAAGCAAGGAUGCUGGAUGGGCAGAAGGCCAGCCUGACCGCAAGAGAGAUGACCAAGAUUAUGUGUUUCUUCACAGGGGAUGGACUCUGUGAUUAUCAAUGCAGUUGGAAAGAACCAUUUAUUUGUCAGAAGUGAUGGGGAUGGUCUCCGCUGUGUGAUCCGACUGCUCCUUCAAAGACGUCAGUGCUGAAAGAUCACCACUCUGUGUUCAAUUCAGUUGCUUUAAUGAAUCAUAAUCAGCGUGCACAUUCCCAAACAAUCGGCAAGACUGGAGACGAAACAACCAAUUUGUCCUCAUCAAGUCAGCACGUAUGUGUGGCAGGUGGGCGCCCUCUACAGGUGUGAUACUCGGACCCACAUGUUGGUCAAUCGUGAUCAAACCAAAGAAGCCAGGGGGCGGGUGCCGCUGUCCUCUGCCCCCAGGUUAAUUACAAGGUAAAAAACGUAAAUUACAACAGUAAUUGCUCAAAAAUAAAACAUUUAAUAUUACAAUGUAUGAAUUAUAUCGGAGACCAAAAGUGUGGAUAUGGUUUGGUUUAGCAUUGACUGCUAGUUGUGUUUUUGGUGACUUCAUGGAAUAGGAAAGUACAUUUCAAGGAAAAAAGUGGUCAUGCUACCCCAAUUGAGUUGCAUAAGUGACUGACGCAACACAAGCCUGCACAGCGCUGUCUUGUCAAAUGCACCACGUACUUUACCAAACAAGUGUACCAUGUAACUUUAGACACAAACCGAAAUAGAGGCAAGCUGAGGACAAUUAUUCUAAAAAAGUGGAGGCAGUGCGCAACGCCACACUUGCGUCAAUUGCACCGUGUACGCGAACGAGGCACCGAUCAACUCCUCUGUGGCUCCAGCCUGCACAGUCUGUCUCAGGAGGGGCGGUCGCUGUGUGUGACUGGCCAAUCACAGAGCGUGAAGAGUGAAUACAUAAUGAGGAUUUUCUUUCAUCACGAUUAUGGAUACUGACGAGAUGUACUCGUUUCAUGCUUGUAUUCGGCGACCAAUUCGGCGACCAAUAGCGACCACCCCUCCCCUGACAGACUCCCUACUUUCAGAGGGAGGAGUACGUGGUGCAUUUGACAAGACAGAGCUGUAAAUGGCUCAUGUUGCGUUGGUCACUGCAGAUAUUGUGGUAUAUACAAGCAAUUGAUGAAUAUGGCCCUGGGUCUGGACAGCCCUAGUGAAUUCUAACCCUCGUCAUAUAUGGCUCUAAUCAAAAGCUAAAAGAGUACCCCAAGUGUAGAUAACGCCUCCUUAAAAUUUGGUUGCAUAUUCCUUCCCUUCUCAGCUGGUAUUUUCUCCCACUCUUUUCUUCAAGCUCUGCUUUUCCCAACAGCAUAUUUCAGCUCACACCAUAGAUUUCCAGUGGGAUUAAGAUCAGGACUCAUCGCUGGCCAGUUUAAACCAGUCCAUUUUCUCCUUUUCAACCAUUACUGUGUGCUUUUGGAUGUGUGCUUUGGGUCUUUUAUCUUGCUGGAGAACCCAUGAUCUUGGGACUCAAACCUAGCUUUCUUUUACUUGGUAGCACAUUUUGUUUUAAAAUCCCUUGGAAAUCUGAUUUCAUAAUUUCCUGUGAUACGGUGAAGGCCUCCAGUACCAGAUGCAGCAAAGCAGCCCCAAAACAUUGUGGAUCCUCCACCAUGCUUAACUAUUCGGAGGGUGUUCUUUUUCCUCCGAGCUUCAUUUCACCGCCUGUAAACAAAUUGUUGAUGCGCAUUGCCAAAAAGUUAUUUUUUUUGUUUCAUCUUCCCACAAACAUUUUCCCACAAGGAUUGUUGUUUGUUCAGGUACUCGCUUGCAAAGAUCAGUGGUUCUCUUUAUGUCUUUUUUCCAGCAAUGGGGUCUUCCUUGGCUUUCGCACAUAAAGUCCUGCUUAGCUUAGUGUGCGCCGUAUCGUACCAGUUGACACCAUUAUCCCAGAUUGUUCCAGGAUAGCUUGGAGGUCUUUGGAUGUGUUACGUGGUGUUUUUUUUCCCCAGUUCGCACCUUCUCUCAUCGACUUUCCUGUUCCCCCCCAUUGAAACCUCUUAAUAACAUUCCGCACUGUUAAAACAGGGAUACCAAAGUCCUUGGAGGGCUUAUAUCCUUUAGAGGUCCCGUGUUUGCUAAUAGUAGGACUUCUGAGGACUUGGGACAGCUCUUUUGCCUUUGUGUACUGCCUUUGUCAUUGUGACAAAGGAACAGAAAAUGACGUGGCUUUUAAAACACUCAGGUCAUCUAAUUCACAUCAUGUGGUCGCUGACGGUUUAACACAGGUGAGUCAAAAAAGGGUUUUUCUCCACACGGAUUUAAAGGGUGCCAAUACCAGUGUCAAAGCAAUCUUUCACUUUUUCAAUGUUUUCCCCCCUAUUUUGCUUUAAAUUCUUUUAUCAUUUGCGGCUCUGUAUCAAACAUGAGAUGUCAAUAGCCCAAAGCUGUUUCACUAGAUUCAUUUUUUUCAGGAGACAUUCUACAUUAUGUACUUAAAUGUACACAAUGGGUGCCAGUAAUGAUGACCAGGACUGGAUAGACCUAAUGAACAGGCUGCAUGUUGGCUUUUUGGUCAGCUGCUUUCAUGAAUUUCAGACGGUGUAUUUUGAUGAUGAAUUUUGCUGUGGUUGACUUUGACAGCUGCAAAAUUUCUCAACUGAAUUCUAAACUUUGUGUUUUGACAGAUUUAAUUUCUUUCAAUGUAAUAUUUUUAAACAUGAAAUUUUGAUUUUGAAUAUGAAAAUAUUGAAAAAUAAAGGCGAAAAUUCAGGUGAAAUUUCACAAAAACAUGAAAAAUGAAAAAAAAAACGAGUAAAAAAAAUUCAGAUACACAAUUUCAAUGGACUAAUAUGCGAUGCUAAAAAUUCAGUCUCACUUUAAAUUCAAAGAUUUAUGUAACCCACAUUUAAAACAAGAAGUUUAACCCAUGUGAUCAGUAAUUACAAGUGAUUAAGAUUUAUCAAUAAUAAACUAUUAAAAUGAGUAAAAUGCCCUUUUGAAUUACACAAAUGAGCCUUAAAAUUCAUAAAUAUGUCUUAAAAUAUUGAAAUGUGUGCACAUUCUUGAUAAAAAGUCACCUUAAAAGAGAAAAUGUUUUCAUGUUCCUUUACGAAUAGUAAAAGUCCCUGGACACAAAACAGAGCACUUCCCCUUUAAGGGAGCGAGGCUUCUUAGCGCUAGCAGUGCAGUCGACGAGCUGAGAGCACAGAGCCAACUGCCGAGAGGAAAAGUGAAAUGUAAAGUGAUUAAGGAUCGCUAAAAAGAUACUUACCUGGUCGAUGAGCCACCAGAACCACAUCUUAGUGAGCAAGAAUUGACUUUUGGUCAGGUUUUUUCCGUUUUGUACCUUUUGCAUUGGAUCGAAAUACCCGUAAGAGUGUGGGAGACACCUCUACAGUGGAGACAAGAUGGCGAGCCAGAUCCAUGGACUACAGUUCUAGAACCUUCGUCGUGAUUACAAGUGAAUCCGUUUCCUCUUGGUGAACAUUGCUGCCAGUGCGCCCGCCUUCCGACCAAGCACAGUCCUCAAGCCUACUACCGACGUCACGUCCCUCCAUUCUCUCUUCCGCCGCUUCCUCCCAAAUCUUUUCUGGCAAAGGUCUAGGAAGACCACAUGGAUUAAGAAGGCCUAAUUGCGGAUGAGCUGAAGGUGUGCUGGCCAGAGCAGGUGGGAGGAGUCCUCUGCAGGACUGCAACGAGACAGCAGGGGGUAGCAGACCAAGCAGCGUGCAAAUCAUGAGUGUGGGUACCAUGUACACAAAAAUGUACAAUAUUUAUUUUUGUAUGGCUCGAAGUAACGAAGCAAUCAACACACAGUUCUAAACACAAUGGCUGAGCACACGGCACAGAUAUGCCAAAGCGCACUCUGGCUUGGUCACACAUGAUGAUUGAGAGAGUCGAGGGCAAACUGCUUUCUGCCUCCUUUAUGCCAGCUCCACCUGAUACCAAUCACCUGCACCUUCCAGGUGUGUCACCACUCUAAUAAAACCCUAUUUUUUAAGUGAUGUAAUUAAAUAUUCAUGAUUCACCCUAUUGUCAAGUUCUUCAGGACUUUCACCAGCUGUAACUUGAGAAGGCCGAGAAGAUUGCAGAGGACGCUUUAUCAACUCCAGUAGAUUUUCUUGAGUUUAUUUUGCACCUCAACUAUUUACAGGAGUUAGGUUGAUAACCUUAGAAUCAGAGAGGAAUAGCAUCAAAUUAUUACCCAUUACUGCAGUUUGUAACUUAGGAACAAUAGACGUCGCAUACCAGUGGGCUCUCUGGUCUUCUCUUGUUACAGUCAUUUGAAUAGUUGUGACAAAGAUACUCAAAUGUCGAAAGGUACUUUAAGAGUCUUUUUUUCUUUCUUUCCAUUUGUUUACUUUGUACAACCCCCAAGUAUUAAUAAUGUGUAAUAAUGUGUGUCAUAGGUCGUCACAUUAGUAUUGAAAUUCAUCACAAUUGAAAUUCAUCACCAUUGCCACAUAAGUUCUAUGCAUCAUAAUUGUCAUGUUCUUUGAUAAAUAUGCGUACAGUCAUGUGACACUUAUUUUUAACUAUAUUCUCAACCAAGCCAAAUUUGACAGAACACCUAUUUGAAUCCCUUAUUGAAGUCUAUACUCAUUAUAUAUAGUCUUAUUAAUAUCGCCUUAAAUUGUAUUUCGAAUUCCCCUAUCAGUCCAUCCAAACCUGGACUUUUAUUCCUACUUAACUAAUUGCUAUUUCUAUCUCGCUUCUAUUUCUUUCUCACUAAUAAAUUUAUCUUCCUCACUGACCUUUACACUCACCUUUUCUAGAAGUUGUUCCAUGAUGUCUUUAGCUAUCUUUUCCUCUUUAAAUAGGUCUCUAUAAAACUGCUCUACUCUCUCCACUAUUCCAAGUGCAUCAGUCAUAAUCCCCCCCUUACCUUCGACCUCCCCUAUAAAGCUCCUUUUCUGAUUUGUUUUUUCUAACCCCAGAAAGUAGCCGCUACGUUUUUCUCCCUCCACGCUUAAUUCAUACUUUAAAGUGACAUACGUCCUUUAUCUUUUCCUAUUUGUUCAGUCUCCUUAUCCAUCCCUCAGCAUCCUCUCUUUCCCUCUCUUUCCUGCUCUUAUCGCUACUAAAUUUGAAUCACUCUUUUAACCUUUUCCCACCAUUUCCCAAUAUUUCCCAAUAUUAUACUCAUACACGCUAUCGUUCAACCAGAUUGCGAUGCACGCUUCUACUUGAUUUUUAUAUUUAGCGUCGUGCAAUAAACUCCCAUUCAAACACCAGCUUCCCUCC